rnacentral:rRNA from 1 species
GUGGGGAAUAUUGGAUAAUGGGCGAAAGCCUGAUCCAGUCAUGCCGCGUGUGUGAAGAAGGUAUUCGGAUUGUAAAGCACUUUAAGUUGGGAGGAUGGGCAGUAAGUUAAUACCUUGCUGUUUUGACGUUACCAACAGAAUAAGCACCGGCUAACUUCGUGCCAGCAGCCGCGGUAAUACGAAGGGUGCAAGCGUUAAUCGGAAUUACUGGGCGUAAAGCGCGCGUAGGUGGUUCGUUAAGUUGGAUGUGAAAGCCCCGGGCUCAACCUGGGAACUGCAUCCAAAACUGGCGAGCUAGAGUAUGGCAGAGGGUGGUGGAAUUUCCUGUGUAGCGGUGAAAUGCGUAGAUAUAGGAAGGAACACCAGUGGCGAAGGCGACCACCUGGGCUAAUACUGACACUGAGGUGCGAAAGCGUGGGGAGCAAACAGGAUUAGAAACCCCAGUAGUCC